rnacentral:rRNA from 1 species
AGUGAACGCUGGCGGUAGGCUUAACACAUGCAAGUCGAACGAGUGGCGGACGGGUGAGGAAUACAUCGGAAUCUACUCUGUCGUGGGGGAUAGCGUAGGGAACCUUACGCUAAUACCGCAUACGAUUGACUGAGCCGCUGUCGGCUUAGCUAGUUGGCGGGGUAAAGGCCCACCAAGGCGACGAUCCGUAGCUGGUCUGAGAGGAUGAUAAGCCACACUGGAAGUGAGACACGGUCCAGACUCCUACGGGAGGCAGCAGUGGGGAAUAGUGGACAAUGGGCGAAAGCCGGAUCCAGCGAGACAGCGUGGGGGAAGAAGGCCGUCGGGUUGUAAAGCAGUUUUGGUGGGAAAGCGGUAGCCAAAGAAUAAGCACCGGCUAACUUCGUGCCAGCAGCCGCGGUAAUUC